rnacentral:rRNA from 1 species
GACGAACCGUGCGAACGUUGUUCGGAAUCACUGGGCUUAAAGGGCGCGUAGGCGGCCGACGUAGUCGGGGGUGAAAUCUUUCGGCCCAACCGGAAAAGGGCCCCCGAUACUGGUCGGCUGGAGGGGGGUAGGGGCACGCGGAACUUCCGGUGGAGCGGUGAAAUGCGUUGAGAUCGGAAGGAACGCCGGCGGCGAAAGCGGCGUGCUGGACCUCAGCUGACGAUGAGGCGCGAAAGCCAGGGGAGCAAACGGG